GCCGAAGUGGCGGAAUGGCAGACGCAAGGGACUUAAAAUCCCUCGGAGGCAACUCCGUGUCGGUUCGAGUCCGACCUCCGGCACCA
rnacentral:tRNA from 1 species